rnacentral:rRNA from 1 species
UGGGCUACACACGUGCUACAAUGGACAAUACAAAGGGCAGCGAAACCGCGAGGUCAAGCAAAUCCCAUAAAGUUGUUCUCAGUUCGGAUUGUAGUCUGCAACUCGACUACAUGAAGCUGGAAUCGCUAGUAAUCGUAGAUCAGCAUGCUACGGUGAAUACGUUCCCGGGUCUUGUACACACCGCCCGUCACACCACGAGAGUUUGUAACACCCGAAGCCGGUGGAGUAACCAUUUGGAGCUAGCCGUCGAAGGUGGGACAAAUGAUUGGGGUGAAGUCGUAACAAGGUAGCCGUAUCGGAAGGUGCGGCUGGAUCACCUCCUUUCUAAGGA